GAAUUUCCUAACAAUCUGCUUUUAGAACUUAGGAGUUUUUUUAAUAUCACUUAUCAAAGAACAAUACCAGCAAAGUAGCUCAAACGUCUGUACCACAUUGAAAAAAAAACAAAAGAACUUACACCCUCUUACAUACGGAACUCUGCGUCAGAGUACGAGGAAUGUGCCAUGAAGAAAUUGUUCAGUUCGGACUUUAAAGUGCAAGGAAUACUGCUAAGACUUUUUAAUCCUUGUGGUAGAUUAUUGAAAAUGCAAUUUUUGCAAUGUCUGUAUUUUACAAUGGCUAUAUAGUACAUGCAUGCAUGACUGAAGGAGCAGACACUGCUGACAGUCUACAGCUGUAUGAAA